rnacentral:misc_RNA from 1 species
AAAAACACCCUCAAAUCCAACACUCUUGAUAAAAAUAACCCAAAAACCAAUACUAAGAAGACGUGAAAUCAACUUAUGAAGAAAGACUAAACUCGGCAAUGACUACAAAUUACCAAUGUCAAAUCGGUGAUCCCUUAUUCUAUUGGGAUUAUUCAUUGAGGAGACUGAAACGAAGAACAGAAAUAUAGGAAUAUCCUUCCCAGACGACUCCAUUCCCUUCAACAUAAUAUAACGAUGCCACAAUGGUAGCAGUUACAUUAAAACACUCAAAAACAAAGACCUUAAGAGGUUUUAUCGGUUUGAUAAAUUAUCUGGCGAAUCUUUUGAUGCAAUCGUUUAUAGACAUUCUUUGUCUAUAACUAGAAAUAUGAAUGAUAAACAUUAUCAUUUAUUACGGAUCUACUUGUAAGAACAGGUACCAUAAUGGCUGAAAAAAAUUGAUUAAUAUAUAUAAUUUUCCUGAACAAGUUUGUAGAGAUAAUUUCAUGAAAGAUCUCUCAAUAAUCUCAGUCUAUAUAAUGAAUAUUAUUCACAUUAUAAUAAUCUUCAAUUAAAAUCAUGCUAACUUUUCUAUUUGAGAACAAGAUGUUUUAUUCUUUAACGAGAGCAAGAUCCCUAGCAUCUUCAAGCAUAGACAACUACUAAUAUACUGUCUAAUGUACAUGCUGAAUUAGUUUCGUUGUUCUAUUUUAUAGCCAGAAUUAAAACAUAUUGUAAAGUAUAUCUAAGAUCUUUCCUUUCUUCAUAUUGUGCCUGUUAUACAUUGCUAGACUUUUAUUAUCAAUGUAGCAGUGACAAAACUAAUGAACAUUUGUUAAACCAUAACACUUGAUUUUAUAAGGGUUUGAUAUUUUUUGACUUUUUGCUUCAUGUAUGUAAGACAAGGUGGCGUUUUUAGCAUAGAAAUUGCUGACGUAUAUUGAUUGAAGAAUUCAUGAAGAAUUCUCCAAUCCUAUUGGUUAUGUCACUGCGAGUAGUUAUGGUACAUGAAGGCAAAAUAAGAUUUUCCUUUUUUGUAGAGAGAUGUGUGAAUCAGAGUUGAAAUUUGUGUUUUUCUUGCUUUGCUAAUUUUUCUUUAGCUUUACAGAAAUAUGGUCAAUCAAUUCGUGUAUUAUAAAGUUAUGAUAAUUUUAUUGUUUUACGUAGUUAUUUUUAAUUGAAAUCUGUGAUGCGCAAAAUGAGAUUAAUCUUUUUUUUGUAGAAAGAUUUGUGAAUCAAAGUUGAAAUUGUGUUUUCUUUCCUUUGUUUAUAUUUCGUUUUUCUCUGUACAAGUAUAUUUAAUCAAUAUCAUAAAGUUAUUAUUUUUUGAUUGCUUUACAUUGUUAUUUUAAUUAAAAUCUGUAAUGCACCCUAAUGCAGGCCCCGCAUAUUACUGAAGCACCACAAUAAAGUGAUUUUUGUGUACAUUUUUGUCACUGUCAUCUCCAUCUGCAUAGAUUCUUAUAGAGACAAGUAAAGGGAUACUGCACAUACUGUCUGAAGAGAUUUAAAUAGAUGUUAAGGUGUAGAACAGAACAGUUGUUAACAGUAUCAUCACGUGCGAGAACAUCAACAUUAUAUAAUUGAAGCCAAUUUAUGUCCUCCCAAAAAUGUGAUUUACUAAUAAAAAAGUUUUAGCUAUUAACGAUAGACAACGUUAUAAACUGAUUAUCCCUUCCCCCAACCCAACUGUACGCAGGUAGAGAGCGGUUUUGGGAUUCAAUAUCUGUUGCAUUUUGUUUUCAUCGCUGUUGACAUUAUAACUGUAUCUAAGGAGUCAAUAAAGCAUAUAGUUA